UUUUAUGAGAGUUUGAUCCUGGCUCAGGACGAACGCUGGCGGCGUGCCUAAUACAUGCAAGUCGAACGCUUCUUUUUCCACCGGAGCUUGCUCCACCGGAAAAAGAGGAGUGGCGAACGGGUGAGUAACACGUGGGUAACCUGCCCAUCAGAAGGGGAUAACACUUGGAAACAGGUGCUAAUACCGUAUAACAAUCGAAACCGCAUGGUGUUGAUUUGAAAGGCGCUUUCGGGU
rnacentral:rRNA from 1 species